GGAGUAUAUGCAAAUUGCCAUCAUACAAACUGAGGCAGCAGACUUUGUGAAAAUACAUUUUUGUGUCAUUCUCAAAACUUUUGGUCACGACUGUAUAGUUACAGGAACCUCAAUGUGGCCAUGGAUCUGUUACUUAUUUUAAGGUUUAAUAAAUACUGUUACAUUAGUUUGUAAGAUUACAAAAGUAAUAUUUAAUUGUGUUUAGUUGACAACGCAACCAAGAGUUGGAGACCUGAAGCCAACAUAUAAUUUAUGAACUUGUUUUGCCGACAAAUUAACAGGCUAUUUAUUGUAUUUCAAAAGUGAUAUUGAAAUUUGUUUGGUCGACAACAUCAAAUAUUGUGGGUUUAGCGUUGACUCAAAACGAAUGCACAACAAGAAAACACACAACUACUACUAUUAUAGUAUAGAAGUCAAAAUACCUGUAGCUAUGUUCCUACUUGGACAUAAUCAAAAACAUUGACAGUGUUUCUCGUGCUAAGAGGAUGCUAUAAUAAAUAGAUCAUUGCGAUUUUCAGAUUUAUUUCAGUACUGGGAAUUUAUUUGCCGUGCAUAUAUGCUGAUGAAUUGAAUAUGAAACUAAAAUCGUGAAUGUUUUUCAAAGGUGUCUGUGUGGCGUCAGCUGCGAACGUUCCACACAGGUGUUCAAUGAUGUAACGCUCAAUGAGUGAAUGGGUGUGGAGUCAGUCGCAGAGAGCAAAGGAUGUGGGAAAAAACACGCUUUAAUGUCCAAAAUCAAAAAGAACAAAAUAGUUAUACCCUACACAGGCGUAACUAUUACUACAAUAAGUACCCUUAAGUAAAAAUACCAGGACAGCGAGAAAACCCAACAAAACACUAACACCUCUCACAAAUACAGAAUAACAAGCCCGCACAAACAGAAGCGGGCUAAACGAACUUAAAUAACACCACCCUAACAACCAAACAAUGAACAGGUGAAAACAAUUAGACAAAACCAAACAAACACGGAACAAAGGAUCGGUGGCAGCUAGUAGACCGGCGACGACGACCGCCACCCGAACAAGAAGGGGAGCCGCCUUCGGUAAUAUUCGUGACAUAUGAGCGAUCGAGUUCUACUACUCACUAGGCCUAAUCUCAUUUUAAUAAAUUCAAAACCACUAAUGUAAUGAAAAUAAAAGCCAAUAAACUGAAUAAUUAUUGUCAAACUAUUAUGUCUAUUCAAUUGCUGAAUUAGGCCUAUUGUAUUUAAUUUUACAUUUCAUGCCUAUUCAAGUGGUUUUGACAAACUUUUAUGAUUUGGACGGCUACUAUGCCAUAAUGUACAUGAUGUCAUAAUGAAGCAUUCUUUUGUUAAAAUAAGACAUUUCAUAGACAGGUCAUUGACGCUCGUCCUGAACUAAGGUAGGACCUAUAAUUUAAUGAAAUAAUCUCAAAUACACUACUUUUAUCUUAUGAGAACUUUAUUUGAUCAAUAACUAAGGAAAACUAUUAUGUUUUGUGAUUUGUGACAAAAAAAUAUUUUUUUAAACUAGGUAUUGCGGUCUUGAGUUCCUGUUUUCAUGAAUAACAUUGUUGAAACUGUAUAGUCAAGUCCUACGUGUGCAAAUGAUCUGGAAGUCCAAAUUGAAGCCAUGAAAGACAGAGGGAAGUCCAGGACUAGGACACAAGAGACCAGUCAGAACAGUUCUGAGAACUGCCUGACAGACAUCCUCAGUGUCCGGUGUGCCAGUGAUAUUGUCCUACAGCCAAUGCCACCAGGGAGAAAGAAUAGCCGAUCCCACUUCCACAACAUGGAUGUGACUAAAGAGAGGGCUGACAUGGGAAGGCUUCCAAUGGCCACUCCACCCAUCAGGCUCCCAAUGCUCACUGUGACCUCUCUCACUGUCCAACGGAACAAAAACACCCUCAAGGUACCUCUCAUGCCUCUCUGCAGCUGGAGGGACAGAUGGGUAGCAAGCGUCUGGGUCCGGUCAAAACCAAAACCAGAGUUUUUUUUUACCCCCAGCCACAAGCAGGAGCCGAGCCAGAGGUUAAAUCCAGCAGACCACAGACACCAGGAAGGCCCAAUGUAUGCUCCACUGCAGCCAAGGAAGUAGCUCCUUUAUCUGAGACUCCAUGCAGCCAGUCUGAGGUCAGGAUCCAGGCCAUUACGUUAUUAUAAACUAGUGUUUUUCCACUUUCAAAGGACAUUCUAAUUCCUGCCAAAAUGUUCAUAAAUUGAUAAAAAUGGAAGAUUCACAGACUAAGGCCUACCUUCAAUUUGGACUUCCAGAUCAUUUGCACACACAGGAUUUGACUACAGUUUCAACAAUAUAUUAUUGAAAACAAAAACACAAGACCUUGUUUUAAAAAAAUACUUUUUUUGUCACAAAUCACAAAGCAUAACAGUUUUUCUGACAUUUAUUGAUCAUAUAAAGUUCUCAUAAAAUAAAAUUCAUGUAUUUGAGAUUAUUUAAUUAAAUUAUAGGUCCUACCUCAGUUCAGGAAGAGCGUCAAUGACCUGUCUAUGAAAUGUCGUAUUUUAACAAAAGAAUGCUUCAUUAUGACAUCAUGUACAUUAUGACAAGUAGCCGUCCACAUCAUAAAAGUUUGUCAAAACCACUUGAAUAGGCAUGACAUGUCAAACUAAAUACAAUAGGGUAAUUCAACAAUUGAAUGAAAAUAAUAGUUUGACAGUAAUUAUUCAGUUUUUUGGCUUUUAUUUUCAAUACAGUUGUAAGGUCCUUGGUGUCAUGAGGGUGAAAUCAGGCGCAGGAAAGCUCAAGUUCAAUAAAGUGCUUUUUUUAAUGCACAUACGGUGAACUACGGUCACCCCACUUAAACCAAAUGCCCCAGACACAGGUAAACGAAAACAGUCUAGCACUAAAUACACAAACAUGUACAUCUAAUGCAAACACCAGGGUUACAAUAAUCAAUCCGGCACAAAGAACCAGGCGGGCCGGCUGACUAAUAAAGCCUCAAUAAUUAUAACCAACUCAAAACAGAUGUACUCAAUAAACACAUAAGGAGGGGGAGAAAAGAAUCAGUGGCAGCUAGUAGGCCGGCGACAACGACCGCCGAGCGCCACCCGAACGAGAAGGGGAGCCACCUUCGGUCGGAGUCGUGACAACAGUAGUGGUUUUGAAUUUAUUAAAAUGAGUAGGAACAUAUGUGUGGAACGUUCGCAGCUGACACCACACAGACGCCUUAGGAAAAAAAAUCCUGAUUUUAGUUUCAUAAUCAAUUUAUCAGCAUAUUUUUAUUUAUUUAAAAAACAAUUUUUUUUAAUAAUUUUUAUUUUCAUUUCACAUUCAAUUACAAAUGUAGUGCAUAACGUUUUACAUAACAUGGAAACUCACAAACAGUAUCAAAAAGUACCAUAACAAUAUAAGAAUAUCAAAACUCCUAAAAAAAAGUGCUGUUCUGCAGAACCUGACCAGUAUUAUUGGCCUAUAUUCAAGAUUAACAUGCCUCUAACAAUCUCCAAAAA